UGGGGAAUCUUGCACAAUGGGCGAAAGCCUGAUGCAGCAACGCCGCGUGCGGGAAGACAGCCCUAGGGUUGUAAACCGCUUUCAGCAGGGAAGAAACUGACGGUACCUGCAGAAGAAGAUGCGGCCAACUACGUGCCAGCAGCCGCGGUGACACGUAGGCAUCAAGCGUUAUCCGGAUUUAUUGGGCGUAAAGAGCUCGUAGGCGGUUCGGUAAGUCGGGUGUGAAAACUCUGGGCUCAACCCAGAGAGGCCACUCGAUACUGCUGUGACUAGAGUGCGGUAGGGGAGCGGGGAAUUCCUGGUGUAGCGGUGAAAUUCGUAGAUAUUCGGUGGAACACCAGUGGCGAAGGCGACUCGCUGGUCCGGUACUGACGCUGAGGUGCGAAAGCGUGGGGAGCAAAACAGGAUUAGAUACCCUGGUAGUCCACACCGUAAACGAUGAAUGCCAGUCGUCGGGUAGCAUGCUAUUCGGUGACACACCUAACGGAUUAAGCAUUUCCGCCUGGGAGUACGGUCGCAAGGC
rnacentral:rRNA from 1 species